GACGAACGCUAGCGGCAGGCCUAACACAUGCAAGUCGAGGGAGAGGUUAUCUUCGGGUAACCAAAACCGGCGCACGGGUGCGUAACGCGUAUACAAUCUGCCUUUCACAUAGGGAUAGCCCGAAGAAAUUUGGAUUAAUACCUAAUGGUAUAUAAGAGCGGCAUCGUUUUUAUAUUAAAGCUACGGUGGUGAAAGAUGAGUAUGCGUUCUAUUAGCUAGUUGGAGAGGUAACGGCUCCCCAAGGCGACGAUAGAUAGGGGUUCUGAGAGGGAUGUCCCCCACACUGGUACUGAGAUACGGACCAGACUCCUACGGGAGGCAGCAGUGAGGAAUAUUGGACAAUGGGCGAAAGCCUGAUCCAGCCAUGCCGCGUGCAGGAUGAAGGCCUUCGGGUUGUAAACUGCUUUUGUACGGAACGAAACGGCCUUUUCUAAUAAAGAGGGCUAAUGACGGUACCGUAAGAAUAAGCACCGGCUAACUACGUGCCAGCAGCCGCGGUAAUACGUAGGGUGCAAGCGUUAAUCGGAAUUACUGGGCGUAAAGCGUGCGCAGGCGGUUAUGUAAGACAGUUGUGAAAUCCCCGGGCUCAACCUGGGAACUGCAUCUGUGACUGCAUAGCUAGAGUACGGUAGAGGGGGAUGGAAUUCCGCGUGUAGCAGUGAAAUGCGUAGAUAUGCGGAGGAACACCGAUGGCGAAGGCAAUCCCCUGGACCUGUACUGACGCUCAUGCACGAAAGCGUGGGGAGCAAACAGG
rnacentral:rRNA from 1 species